AUUUAAUUUAGUUACAUUUGGGAGCUCUUCCGGUUAACACUCGAUUUGUAUUACCGGAAUUCCCCGCACAUUGAUAAAGAUGUUUUCCUGGAUAUCCACGACGAAAACACGGGAAUCGCUAAUGUCUGUACCCAUUGUGUCAUCAGGAUUAAGAAGGAGAUCUCUGAUGAUUUUUUUUAGUUUGAUUGGGAUGUUCUGACAAGUUACGGUCGUCUUAACCUAAUCGUCUUUCCUCUUUUCUCCAUUCAUUUUUGUAAGGCAAGAUCAGAAAACAGAAAUGGAGUGAAAGAAUACACCACUUGAAGGACGUCUGAAUACCGAGUAUAUAUAUUUAUGAUCUAUAAAGGUAGCUCAUAAAUAUUCUAACACAAAUGAUAUAUAUAUUUCGUAACAAAUAAAAUAUAUUUUAUAAAAAACCUCUAA